rnacentral:rRNA from 1 species
UACGUAGGGGGCGAGCGUUGUCCGGAUUUAUUGGGCGUAAAGAGCGUGUAGGCGGUUCGGUAAGUCUGUCGUGAAAUCCUGAGGCUCAACCUCGGACGUGCGAUGGAUACUGCUGGGCUAGAGUCCGGAAGAGGCGAGUGGAAUUCCUGGUGUAGCGGUGAAAUGCGCAGAUAUCAGGAGGAACACCGAUGGCGAAGGCAGCUCGCUGGGACGGUACUGACGCUGAGGCGCGAAAGCGUGGGGAGCAAACAGG